UUGUUGUUAUUGGUGAUGGUGGCAGCAAAGUUGUUGUUGUUGUUUCCAUUAUUGUUGUUGUUGUUGUUUUGAUGUUAUUGUUGUUAUUAUUGUUGUUGUUGUUAUUGUUAUUAUUGUUGUUGUUGAUAUUGUCGUUGUCAUUAUUGUUGUUGUUGGUGUUGUUGUUGCUGCUAAUGUUGGUGUUGUUGUUUUGUCCUCCUCGUUGUUGUUGUUGUUAUUGAGAAUUAUUGUUCAACAAUUCUAUUUAUUUAUUUUUUGUUGUUG
rnacentral:lncRNA from 1 species